rnacentral:piRNA from 1 species
UAGCAGCUGCUCACAUUUUGUCCAGUCAGG